rnacentral:rRNA from 1 species
AGUUUACAGGCAGAAGUUUUCGGAUGGAAGCUUGUAAACUUAGUGGCGGACGGGUGAGUAACGCGUGGGUAACCUGCCUUGUACUGGGGGACAACAGUUGGAAACGACUGCUAAUACCGCAUAAGCGCACGAAGAGACAUCUCCUAGUGUGAAAAACUCCGGUGGUACAGGAUGGGCCCGCGUCUGAUUAGCUGGUUGGCAGGGUAACGGCCUACCAAGUCUACGAUCAGUAGCCGGACUGAGAGGUUGAACGGCCACACUGGAACUGAGACACGGUCCAGACUCC